AGAGUUUGAUCCUGGCUUAGGAUGAACGCUAGCUACAGGCUUAACACAUGCAAGUCGAGGGGCAGCAUGAGAUUAGCUUGCUAAUCUGAUGGCGACCGGCGCACGGGUGAGUAACGCGUAUCCAACCUUCCCCUUAGUAGGGCAUAGCCCGGCGAAAGUCGGAUUAAUACCCUAUGUUCUUCGUAGAGGACAUCUGAAAAUGAAGCAAAGAUUUAUCGCUAAGGGAUGGGGAUGCGUCUGAUUAGGUAGUCGGCGGGGUAACGGCCCACCGAGCCUGCGAUCAGUAGGGGUUCUGAGAGGAAGGUCCCCCACAUUGGAACUGAGACACGGUCCAAACUCCUACGGGAGGCAGCAGUGAGGAAUAUUGGGCAAUGGGCGAAAGCCUGACCCAGCAACGCCGCGUGAAGGAAGAAGGUUUUCGGAUUGUAAACUUCUGUUAUAGGGGAAAAGAAAGUGAUGGUACCCUAUGAGAAAGCUACGGCAAACUAUGUGCCAGCCGCUGC
rnacentral:rRNA from 1 species